rnacentral:misc_RNA from 1 species
UUACUGAUAGAAUAGAAUAAUAAUUACAUAUACACAGUUUACUCAUAAUAUUAUUUGCUCCUAACAGUGCCUAACAGUUAUAGUAGAAAAUAAAAAAAGAUUUAAAAAACAAUAAUUGUGGAAGGUUUUCUUUUUUUUACUUAGUAACAUUAUUCUUCUGUCUUUGUUCUUGUUGCCAAAAUCGUCAAAGUUCAUGAAAAAUGUCCUCCAUUGAAUUCUUUGGAUCUGUUGGAAAGUGAAAUUUCAACGUAAGCAAGCAUGGAUGAUAACUCUACGAGCGAUGACGAAAUUAAAGAAUCUCCUUCCAGCCCUAAAUCUGGUGGUAAAAAGGUCAAAUUAAACGAUGGAAGCUCUCAAGAUAGUUUGAAAGAAACAGCUGUUGCUAGCAAAGAUGAAAAUAUGGAUAGUGGUGUGUCUGCGGACAAAUCUGAGAGUACAAGCAGUGAUGAUCCCGGUGCGAGUUCUUCGACCGGGCCCUCGAACGAGGUAGUGAUAGCGGCGCCAUCUACCAGCAACGUCCGUACCCUGCUGCUGAAUCUCACACGUCCCAUGCUGUCGCGUAACUACAGGAAGAGGAAGACUCCGGACCGGGACUCGGACAGCAACGCGUCGUCCAAAGACUCUGAUGAUGACACUCCAAGGAAUACGAUGAACAAUGCCAGCACUAGUAACAACAGCAACAGUAACAGUAGCACAGACACAGAGGUGGAGGAGUACCACAGGCUGAUUGAUUUGUGCAGCACCGGCUCUGAUGAUUCUGAGAGUGGGAGCUCGUCUGACACGUGCGACUCGGACGACAUGCUGCAGCUGCACACCGAGGAGUCGUCGAGCGAUGAGGACGUGCCGUGGAACAGGAGCACCGGCGUGCCGGACGGCAGGCCGGACAACCCGCCCGACGUGCUGCUCAAGGAGCGGCCUAAACACAACUACGUCAUCUUGAGAGAGAUAAUGAACCGCGAACUCGGCCUGACAUUUCCGUGCGGCAAGACAGCCAAGAACGACGUGAUAUUCGAACAGAAAUUCUACUCUUCACUGCACGCUGUGUACCGGCUGAAGAAACUGCACACGCUCAACAAGCACCGGGGCUGUGUCAACUCGAUCAACUUUCAUCCGGAAGGUCACCUCUUAGCAUCCGGUUCGGACGACACCAAUGUGGUGGUGUGGGACUGGGCGCGUAAGAUCCCACUGCAGACGGUGAAGACCGGACACAAGUCGAACGUGUUCCAAAGCAAGUUCCUGUAUUUGAACUCGACCAGCCAAUUGAACAUAGUCACCUGUGCCAGGGAUGGACAGGUGCGGCUGCUGCAGUGCGGCAGCGCGGGCGGGUCGUGGUCGCGGCGGCGCGUGGCGGCGCACGCGCGCGCGGCGCACAAGCUGCACGUGUCGCCGCACGAGCCGCACGCGCUGCUGUCGGCCGGCGAGGACGGGCUCGUGCUGCACUGCGACCUGCGCGCCGACGCCACUAACAGACUGUUCCAGCUGAAGGAGCGCGGCGCGGCCAUCCCGCUGUACAGCGUGCACGGGCACCCGCUGGACCUGCGCCAGCUGGUGGUGGCGGGGCGCGACAAGUUCGUGCGCGUGUACGACCGGCGCAAGGCCAGCAAGCCGCUCGCCCUCUACUGCCCCUCCGGCUUCACCGAGGACAAUACCAACACAAAGAAGAAGAUGCGUCUGUCCAUGAUGCACCUCACGUGCGCCAUCUACAAUCACGACGGCACCGAAAUCCUCGGCUCUUACAACGAUGAAGACAUCUACCUGUUCAAUACCAAAAUGAUGUUCACGUCAAAGGCGACACCAACCAGGAGAAGGAUGGCUACACGCACCGCUACACCGGACACCGGAACAGCGCCACGUUCAAGGGCGUGGCGUUCUUCGGCCCCAGGAGCGAGUACGUCGUCUCCGGCUCCGACUGCAGCCACAUCUACAUCUGGGAGAAGAAUUCGGAGGCCAUCGUGCAGUGGCUGCAGGGAGAUGUUAACGGAGUGGUGAACUGCAUCGAACCGCACCCGCGGUUCCCGAUCCUGGCCACGAGCGGCCUCGACAAGGACGUGAAGAUCUGGGCGCCGUACAACCACAAGGACCCCACCUACAACAAGCUGAGUAAGGUGAUCCGCGAGAACAGCGCGUCGCAGCUCCACAGCCCGUUGUUCAACGACUUCCUGCCGACGCUGUACUCGGCGUGGCGCGGCGAGAACCGCCUCUACGACGACGAAGAUCUGCCACACACCGGCAAUAUCGAAUUUGACGGCAACAUUUGCACCACUUUCUAAAUUAUAUCGGACUUCUAAGAAAUAAUGCCAGUAGUUAGUACAGAAUUCGACGGAAUUUACACCUUUCAAACACGCCGGAAAAUGUACAAAAAACACACAGCGCAUAAGUCGAGUAGGGUUUUCAUGAUUCUAAAUCCAGAUGUAAUAUGAAAAUCAGGUAUACUAGCAUCUAACUAGUAUUACAGGGUAUUGAUUUCGACGGAAACAUUAGUGCCACAUAUGACAUUACACACAUAUACGUAUAACAUCUAACAGUAUGUAUAACUGCAUGGUCAAUGUUAUCCAAUGUCUAAGAUACUGACUGUUGGCUAGUGUCAAAGUUCUUGAGCCUAAUUCUAUGGAGUAUGGAAAAUGUUGGCAUGUCUAGUUAGAAUCGCGUAUAAAACUGCAGUAUGUAUGGUGUAGUGUUCUCGUGGUGUGAGGAUUUCAGCUUGUCAAUUCAUCAAAUUAAAUGAUAAUUGGAGCUCAUAGGGUACAAAUUAAAUUGACCUAUUUUACCCAACUGUAAGUAUAAUGAUAGGUUUGGCAACAAUAUCAAAAACUAAGCCCAGAUCUAUUCUCUUCAGGCUGAUUUAGUAUUCAUUACGUUUUGGGAAUUCAUUCAACUUGGACGCUAGAUGAAAUGUACCGACUAGCUGAUUAGAUGUAAAUGGAAACCCAGGUUAAAUACACAACUGGUACAUACACAGACGCCUUUCUAACGUUGUAUAUACGUGUAACGGCUUUGUCUUGCUUCUUGAGUGAGACUUGAGAAGUAAAAUGAAACAUUGUAUUUAUAGACAUGAUCAUUAGUAAGGCCUUCGGUGAAAUAAAAGCGUGCCUACACUUGGAAGAAGUAGUGGUCAUCAUGCCAUGAGGAUUGAUUAUGAUUAUAUAUAUUUAUGGUGGCAAAAAGCAAGUUUACCAUCUUAGGCCAUUUUUGAAAUAUUAAAAUACUCUAUGAUUUUAAGUUUUUAUAUCAUACAAUGAUACAGUUAUUAAUAUACAUUUCUAGAUGUUUUUAUCUCUCAAGUGUACUAUUAGCUGGAAUACAUAUCCUAAAACACGAUA